UACGUAGGGGGCAAGCGUUAUCCGGAUUUACUGGGUGUAAAGGGAGCGUAGACGGCACGGCAAGCCAGAUGUGAAAGCCCGGGGCUCAACCCCGGGACUGCAUUUGGAACUGCUGAGCUAGAGUGUCGGAGAGGCAAGUGGAAUUCCUAGUGUAGCGGUGAAAUGCGUAGAUAUUAGGAGGAACACCAGUGGCGAAGGCGGCUCGCUGGACGAUGACUGACGUUGAGGCUCGAAAGCGUGGGGAGCAAACAGG
rnacentral:rRNA from 1 species